GGUUUCAAAAAAUUACCACAGGUUGCAAACUUCGUCAAAAUAGCGAUGCAGACCCGCUCCACUUGAUUUGAAAUGAUUGGCUAUUCAACCGAAUACACAGUGCCAUAUUUGGGUUACUUAUCAGAGUAGAUCGUUCGUUUUAAAUUCGAGAAGAGUUUACAUAUUACUUGAAUGAAGAGGAUAACAUAAUACUGAGCUGAAAAUUGUAUGUAAAGUAUGUUUUAGUAGUUUACAAUACAGACUGUAAAUGUGUGGGAGAUUUUACUGAUAUUGAAGCUUGCAAACAAAACCAAUAAACGUAGGACUUAUUCACGGCAAUGUAUGGGAACCAGUCUAAAAGGCAAAGAAAAUUCCGCCAAGUAAACAACAAAGAAAGGGAUUUGGGAUGUUGUCAGUUGUAUGUAUACAUUCUGUGCGACGGUGACUGCAAGAAAAAAGGAAUGUGGAGCUAAUGCAUGCUGCUAAGGAUGGAAAGGUCUUGUGUUUAUUGGUUGUGCCUAAGUCACCAGUCACAGGUGUACCUUAUUUCCAUUUUAGGGAGUCUAUAUAUAUUUGAGGUGAGCGGCAGAUUUAAUUUUGAAGAUGGGUGACUUUCAGAUGUUGUGAUGAAGAUUGUUGAAAGGGAUUAUCAGCAUAGAACCAUUCCAUAUGAAUGUGCAAGUCAGGACUUGUACAACACCUGAGUACCUAGAUGACUGUUGAACUAAUUGGUGAACAAGAAAAGAUGUCAGAGAGGGGAAUCCAAUACAGAUGUCAUGAUCAAGAAUAUAUACUCUUAUCAAUGAUAU